CCUACGGGAGGCAGCAGUAGGGAAUAUUGCUCAAUGGGGGCAACCCUGAAGCAGCAAAGCCGCGUGGAGGAUGAAGGUUUUAGGAUUGUAAAAUCCUUUUGUGAGAGAAGAUAAUGAUGGUAUCUCCGGAAUAAGCACCGGCUAACUCCGUGCCAGAAGCCGAGUUAAUACGGAGGGUGCAAGCGUUAAUCGGAAUCACUGGGAGUAAAGAGUGCGUAGGCGGGCUUGUAAGUCAGAUGUGAAAUCCUGUAGCUUAACUAGAGAACUGCAUUUGAAACUGUGUGUCUAGAGUGUGGGUGAGGUAGGCGGAAUUCUUGGUGUAGCGGUAAAAGCCUUAGAUAUCAAGAGGAACACGCAUUGCGAAGGCGACCUACUAGAA
rnacentral:rRNA from 1 species